UAGUCCACACCGUAAACGUUGGGCGCUAGGUGUGGGAUCCAUUCCACGGGUUCCGUGCCGCAGCUAACGCAUUAAGCGCCCCGCCUGGGGAGUACGGCCGCAAGGCUAAAACUCAAAGGAAUUGACGGGGGCCCGCACAAGCGGCGGAGCAUGCGGAUUAAUUCGAUGCAACGCGAAGAACCUUACCUGGGUUUGACAUAUGCCGGAAAGCUCUAGAGAUAGAGCCCCUUUUAGUCGGUAUAC
rnacentral:rRNA from 1 species